rnacentral:lncRNA from 1 species
UUCAUUACCGGCAUGAGAAUUCUUUUGUCUGAUCAUUACACGACAAAAUAUUAUUGUCAUCUUUAGUCUGCUUACACCGUACUUACUUUUAUAAUAAUGUAAGGUUUCUAUUGUAAAUUAACCGACCGUGCAUGGGCUGUAUAGCCAGUCAAGGUCGUUGAGUACUACAAUGUGUUUGUUGUAAUUCAUCUGUGUUAAACAUGCCGGCGAGAGUGGACGUUAGCUUGUGAGCUACAUUAUGAUAUUAAAGUGUUCACCCGGAUAAAUUUUUCAGAAAGGGUACAUUUAAAGUUUGCCCGAUGCUUUUACCCAUAUGGGCUGAAGGCAUACAUAAAUCAACAUAAUAAUUUUACGAUAUAUCAUACAAAACUAAACAAUAAAAGAACAAAAAUAUUCAUAUAAUGAUUGAAUAAAUAGUCAACGAUCAUACAGGGCGAUGGAUAUUUAUAGUUAUUUAAUGGUGAUGUUGUACCCUUUUUGACUUGUUAUUUAUAUAUAUAUAUAUAAUAUAUGAUGCAGUUGUUGAGUCCACCCUCCUCAGUGACCAUGACUUUUUAACAAAUGGAGCAGCAUACUGCAUAAUUGACGGACACGAAAGACAUAAAACC